rnacentral:rRNA from 1 species
UCAACAACGGGAUCUCUUGGUUCUGGCAUCGAUGAAGAACGCAGCGAAAUGCGAUAAGUAGUGUGAAUUGCAGAAUUCAGUGAAUCAUCGAAUCUUUGAACGCACAUUGCGCCCUUUGGUAUUCCAAAGGGCAUGCCUGUUCGAGCGUCAUUUGUACCCU